rnacentral:lncRNA from 1 species
UUCCUAGUUUACAAUACAAUCAUCUGAUUAAAUGCAAUCUGUAACGGCCAAUACAAAUUGUUCGAUGAAAAGAACUCCACGAAUGAAACGACGACUUCACAAUAAUUUCUAGGCAAAAGAAGAAAAAAUGAACACAAUUUGUGGAAGACGGAUUCAGAUUAUUCUGUUUUUACCUUCAUGGCGUUGAUUUUUUCUAAGAUCGCCACGACUUCUUCCAUGGAGGGACGCCUUUUGUGUUUCUUAUUAAGGCAUUGUAGGGUAAGUUUAGCAACCGAUGUUGCCGCCUCAGAAGAAUACUGUCCUUCAAUUCGUGCGUCCAUGACUAGUUUCAGCUUUUUUUUGUUGAGAAGGGGCUUUGCCCAGUUCAUCAGUUCCCUGUUCUGUCUGCGUUUGUGUAUCAGUACCCGUAAACCCGACUCAUCUCAGCAGCAGAACACCUAAACUGUACACAUCGCUCUUUACUGAUAAAUUCCUGUUGCAACAUGAUGCAUUGGAUAGAGAACUAAACUCGUUGAAAAACGCGAUUCAGAAAAAAAAAAUCUUACAAACAUAAUGUGUGGUGCAAGGAUGACGCAUUGAAAUCCAAAUGGGACCUACCAAAAUUGAACGAUAGGAUAAACUCAAUUGUCAUAUCAAUUGCAAACAUCAUACAUCAUUUUUACUGCAAUGGAUGGAUUUGUCAUGAAUUUUCUUUUCCUUUCCUCUCUGUUUUUUGUUUUCAUCAUAGCCUCAAUUAAAUCAAUAUAAGCAGGAAUCCUUCCCUCUAUCAAGCCUUAAAUAUCACUAAUAUGAUACGUAUUGUCAGUUAUGUAUCGAGAUUUUUGCCAUUGAUACUAAUGUCUUCGUAAAUCUAGGCCGAUACAUGGUUGUAUCACUGAAACCAAUACUGUUACUGAUACCUUGUUAUAAAUCCCGCCUCUAACGCACUUGUUAAGAAAGUUUGAGUGAGAAAUAUUUCCAUUGAUAAUUCUCUAACUUAUUUAGUAAGCAGGGUUCUUUUAUUGUUUUUAAGUUAUUUUCAAGCCACAUCACUAUGGGCCAUAAGAGAAAACUAUUCACUGUUUUCCAAUAUAUCUGGAGCACAUCAUAACGAAUGUUCCAAUAACUCGUGUCGUCACAUGUGUGUUCUCCACCGGAAGGCCGCCAACUUUGCUUGUUCCAAAUUCCGAGAUUUUGGCAUUGUAGUUCUGUGAAGCAGCAAAAUGGGGCAUAUCAGUUUUGCACGAAUGUUUCAGAUACGGAUGGAUUUUGGCGCUCCUUAAGGGCUUCAGAUAAUCUCAAAUCACAAUUAAUUAAACUUAUGAAGUGUGAUCAUGUAAGAACGCCCUCAUCAAGACAGUAUAUUAGAUGCUUUAAAGUCCCUGGGUAAAUGCAUUGGUUCCUCUCAACGUGUGCAAGAAGUAGCACUUUGCUGAUUCAAUGGCUAUUUUGAGCCGUAAGGUCCCAAGAGUCAGUGGCAGAACCCCCCGUGGCAAACCAAAAGAAAGAAAAAAAAUCAUCAAUCAAAUAUAACCAUACAUAGCAAGUUUUCUUUGUUAUAUGUUUUUUUUCUUAUUAUGCUACCGAUCUACGCGCCCAGUUCAUCUUACGUAGAAAAGAAGGGUUUCCAAGCUUCCCCCCUCCAUAAUUCGUACACAGUAGCAGCUCUUGAUAUCCUCCAAACAGUAAACCCAACAGCUUAACCAAGUUAGGAUGAGAAAGGCGUCCCAAGAAUCCACUUCCUCCGUCCGCCUGCAUUUCCAAAUAAGAAAGAAACCGACCAAUGACAUUAGACUUAGAAACAAAAGAAGGUAUAAAUCUACAUUUGGAAGAUCAAAAACAUUUCCUUACCUCAGAUAAGCGUUGUUUGGGCUGUUUUGAUAUGAUCUAUAUUAUAUCUAUAUUAGAAUCCCACCAGGUUUGAUCACUUUGUCCAAAUAUGAUCUUAACUCACCAACCUAACCUGUGAACUUGGCAAUUGUAGAAGAACCAAGUGAUCAAGUCUAUGUUACCAUUGAAAACAACAUAUUCUACAUUUCGUGAAAAUCCGUCCGAUGGCAUUUCUAGAAAAUACACCGUUUAUUUUUAUUCAAUUGCAUUAAAAGAAGCUCACUAAAUACGUCUAGCGCCGUAGAAUUUAUCACAUAAGAGGCACCCCCAUGUUACAAUUCAAAUACCAAUAACCCUAAUCAAAUCAAAAGAUCCAAUGAUCGAUAAUGCUGUAAAUUGCACUCUCAAGACGUCCUAAUGAUCAUUAAUAAUACUGGACAGCAUCCCCCGGAAUUUGGUAAAAUGGUUUCACAAAACCCAAGUAUUAACUGCAAAAUAAUAGAAAAUUGAUACAAAGAUUUCUUCGCAUUAGAACUGUUGUUCGCGUCAGUUUCUUUGAUCUCAAAGACCAACACUAGGUGAGAAGUAGCACCAACAGAUAUCUUUUUCUUUUAGGAGACAAGUAAAACACCAUCCAAGUUUUUGUCCCCAACAACAUCAUCCCAUCACUUUUUAUCCAUUAUCUACUGCAUGAUUACAUAAAAGCAUAAAACACAGCAAUACUAGUGGCGGCCAAGCAAAUAUUUUGUCACCACAUGUUUGAAUUAAUGGUAGAGACCAAGGUAUAAAACAUCGGCCAAUACGUGGUCGUAUGUAUCGAGAUUCAGCACUUCUGAUGCUCAUAUUUAUCAUAUAUCACCAUCUUGGAGUAUUCCUCUGAUCGGGAAUCUAUUACCCCAUACCGCAUUUUGUCUAAUAACCCUGGUAUAGGGGUGGGGUUUAAGAACCAACACUUCUCACUGUGUUUGCCUUAUCGUUACUAUCUAAUCAUUAUUAUUAUAAUUCUGACAAACCUAGCAUACUUCUAUUUGAGAGUUGAAAAUUAGUAGAUUACCUGCCAUUCUUGAAGGCCCUGCUUACUUUGAGGGUUUAGCUUCUUGAUGGAAUCUUCCUACCGGAAAUUCCGAAACUGUCCCCUUAUACACGUUUCCGAAACCACCCCCCCAAAAAUCAUGGUCCCGGUUGAACCCUUGUAGCGAUCAUCAAAUCCGAAAACUGUAAAACAAUUAUCAAGUUUUGGGUGGCCAAUAUUUCCCAUGCUGCUAACUCCUUCCGAUGUUCCCAAUUCCAUCACCAUUAGGUGUUCCUGAAAAUAUUCCGGAUCUACUAAAGAAAACCAACCAACACUGCCAUGGUCAAACAUUCAAAAUGAAAUCAAUUCGAUCAAAGAAAAAAAAAAGUCGUUCGAACUUAUUCAUUUUGAUCUUUGUUUUAGAUAAUUUAUUUUCUUUGAUGUCCAAUUAUUGGACGUAGGGUUUGUCAAGAAUGAAGAUAUGUUCCUGGGUUUUCACUGAAUUACAAAAAAUCACACAUCAAUAUUUGGCAAGUUAGUUCUGGUGUUUGGAGUAAAAUCAACAGAUGGUUUCAGAACAUUCAAAAAUAGAGAAUCACAUGUUCAUUUAGAACUUAAACAAAUGUGUCACAGACUAAAUCAAAACGAAAUAGAAUCAAUUAAGUCCGAAGAUCGCCAGAAAAAGCAAACACAACUUGUUGGCAGAGGGUUAGGCGUUCUUGAAAAUUUCGGAUAAAAUUACCUAAUUUAUCAGGGUUUCGUCACUCGAUUAUACUAAGAAAAACAAAGAUAAUGCUUUGGGUUUGGGACCUGAUUUUAGAUAAAAUCAGAUUUUCCAUGUUAUCCUGAUGUUUAUAGCAAAAUCCGAAACACGGUACUCAACACAUGAGAAAGUGCGAUUUUUGUUUUCUCAGCAACAAACUGAGAAGAAACAUAGAGAGAAGUGCUGAACCCAUGUGGUAAUUUUGUAGAAAAAAUGAAAGGAUUUAAAUUAUAUCAAUGGUAUUCAUCUAGGAAUCACGGACACUCUCCGGAAGCAACGUAUACGUGGCGGUCCAUGUUUUUAUUAUUAAUUCUUAAUUCGGACGCGUUAUUCCGAGGCGUGUGUCCAAAAUAGGACAGCGUGUCCUAGAGUGUUCAUUUUUUUUAUUUUUUUUAUUAGUUAAUUAGUACUGUUUUUUUUUUUGCUGAUUAUUUUUCCUCUCCUCCUCCUUCUUCUUCUUUUUUCUUCUUCUUCUUCUUUUCCGAUUAUGAUGUUGUUGACCUGUGCUCAUGGAUGGAUUGAAAUAAAUUUUGCUAAAUAGCUAAAUGGUAUGUUGGUUUUAUCUUUGUCAUUUUAGUUUUUUAGAUGAAAUUAUAUAAUAUUUUAUAAUAUGUUAAGCCUUAAGUUAUAGAAGACAUGUAUUUUAUUUUAUUUAUAUUAUCUUGAACUUAUUUAUUACCUUGAUCAUAAAUAUAAAAUAUAAUAAGACAUAUAAAUAUAUAUAUAAUAUAUAUAUAUAGUAUUUGCCGUUGUCCCUCAGUGUCGUGUCCGGAUUUUUUAAAAAAUUAUCAUGUCACGUGUCCGUGGUCCGACACGACACACGGUCCGUGUCGUGCUCUUAGUAGCAUCUUCUUGUUAUAGUUUCUCAUUUUAUUCUUAAAGAUCCCAAUUAAGUUUUACGUAAUAUUGUUUGAAUUAGAUUGUUUUCUCAUAAACUUUUUAUUACAAAAAAGGUCUUGAAUCUUUUUUUAGUCUUUGUUUUGGCAGUGAAUUCGUGGACGAAGUUCUUUAUUGACUCGAUUGAACUUUAUCCAGCAUUAUCCACGAUCGAUAUCAAAAAAAAAUGGAAAAAAACAUCGUAAGACCCAAACAACCGCGGUCUACAGACUCCAUAGAACUAAAUCACUGUCGCGAUGUAAUGGAGGAAGACGUUGUGGAGGUUAUGUAACGGAAUGCGGUUAUUGCGGUUGUGAAUUUUUUUUAGAUGAGCAAAUUUGUAUAAAAUGUAUUGUUACGGUUGAUUUGACUUCAAAAAUAAAUUGUACAAUUAUUUUAGAUGAUUGUAGAUGAAUUUUAAUAUAACAUUUAAAAUAUAUAUAAUGUAUUAUACAUAUUAGGUAUGUUUUUAAGUCAUUUAUGAUAUAAAUUAUUAAAUUUUAAAUAAAAACGCAAUGACCUCAACUCAAUCUCUGAACU